AGCUCCAAUAGCGUAUAUUAAAGUUGUUGCAGUUAAAAAGCUCGUAGUUGGAUUUCUGGUCUGAUCGGCCGGUCCGCCGUAAGGUGUGUACCUGGUGUGAUGAGAUCAUCCUUGAUGGGAACCAUGGUCACCGUUGAUUCGGUGCUGUGGGGAACAUCAUCGUUUACUGUGAGAAAAAUAGAGUGUUUAAAGCAGGCGUUUGCUCUGAAUACGUUAGCAUGGAAUAAUAAGAUAGGACUUUGGUACUAUUUUGUUGGUUGCAGUCCAAGGUAAUGAUUAAUAGGGACAGUUGGGGGUAUUCAUAUUUAAUUGUCAGAGGUGAAAUUCUUGGAUUUAUGAAAGAUGAACUUAUGCGAAAGCAUUUACCAAGGAUGUUUUCA
rnacentral:rRNA from 1 species